UAAAACGAGACAGUUCGUUGAGCAGUAAGUCAAUCGUUUUGCAGAUCGACAGUAAAUCACAGCCAAUGUCUGCAAGUGCUCUUCGACAUUCUUUACAGGAUAGACUUAGCGAAAUUUCAAGCAAGAGUCGUGAUGAAAUAUAUUUGAAGCUACGAACAAGCACGGCCCCACCAUUGAAGCUGAUUGAUUUGCCUGGGUUUGACAAGGGAAAUCUUGAUGAUUCAUUG